UAGUGCGAUCAUACCAACAAUAAUGUAUCGAAUUUGAUCAGAACUCCACAAGUAAACACGUAUGGACAAGAGUAGCACUAAGAUGUGACCAUGUGGAAAGUCCUAGUGUUGCCUGUU
rnacentral:rRNA from 1 species